CACAAUCAGGUCCCAUUCUAUAGAUGGGGAAACUGAGGCUUGAGGUCACAUAGGCACCAGUCGAGGCCGGUAUCCCUGCACCCUCUCCCAUGUGAACAACAUGGUUCUGGGUAAUGGGGGCUGUUAUCCUGUCUCCUCCCUGCUCCUGCUGGUGCACUUCCUGCCUCUACUGGUGCACUUUCUGCCACUACUGGUAUAUUUGCUGCCUCUGCUGGGGCGCCUCCUGCCUCUGCUGGUGUAUCUCCUGCCCCUGCUGGUGCACUUUCUGCCCCCGCUGAUGCACUUCCUGCCUCUGCUGGUGCACUUCCUGGCUCUGCUGGUGCACUUCCUGCCCUUGCUGGUGUAUUUCCUGCCCCUGCUGGUGUACUUCCUUCCCCUGCUGGUGCACUUCCUGCCUCUGCUGGUGCACUUCUUGCCUCUCCAGGCCCUACCUAGCCUCUCCCUCUUAUAUAUGGAAGUCUUCCCAGCUCACUGACACUGGUAACAGGGACUCUGCUCUUGGUGUUGCUGUCUGCCCUGGGGAUGGGCAUCUGUGUCUUUCGUUACUACUGCUGGCUCAGGGCCCAGAGCUUUGAAGCAUGUCCAGAUGCAGGUCCAGGUACCGGAGUCUAAGGAGCCCCCACACCCACCAGGAUUUUCCAAUAAAGAGAUGUUCACCA
rnacentral:sRNA from 1 species